UACGGAGGAUGCAAGCGUUAUCCGGAAUGAUUGGGCGUAAAGCGUCCGCAGGUGGCUAUGUAAGUCUGCUGUUAAAGAGUCUAGCUCAACUAGAUAAGAGCAGUGGAAACUACAAGGCUAGAGUACGUUCGGGGCAGAGGGAAUUCCUGGUGUAGCGGUGAAAUGCGUAGAGACCAGGAAGAACACCAGUGGCGAAGGCGCUCUCCUAGGCCGUAACUGACACUGAGGGACGAAAGCUAGGGGAGCGAAUGGG
rnacentral:rRNA from 1 species